rnacentral:rRNA from 1 species
UACGUAGGCAGCAAGCGUUGUUCGGAAUUACUGGGCGUAAAGAGUGUGUAGGCGGUGCUCUAAGUUCGGUGUGAAAUCUCCCGGCUUAACUGGGAGGGUGCGCCGGAAACUGGAGUGCUUGAGCGCGGGAGAGGAAAGCGGAAUUCCUGGUGUAGCGGUGAAAUGCGUAGAUAUCAGGAGGAACACCUGUGGUGUAGACGGCUUUCUGGACCGUAGCUGACGCUGAGACACGAAAGCGUGGGGAGCAAACGGG